GAUAUCCACAAGAUUUAUUAAACAAUCCAAAAAAAAAAAAAAGAGGAAUAUUUGAGAAGGCAUAAGUAGGAAGAGAAAGGGGGCAGGAGAGGACAUAAGAAGAUAUAAAGCGGCGAGUUUUCCAUAGCCGGCUACAGAGUUGCUUAGGAACCCACAUAGACUACGAAACUAUGGACAAAUACUACUCCCUGGAUUAGCCCAUCACAGUAUAUCAUUGCCUUUUGUCACCAGAAGUGGAAACAGAAUUGAGUUUGCUCCAUGGAACGCACUCCUGUAGGUUUCUGGGACUCAGUUUUCUCAUCUGUAAAAUGAAGUGUUGGACUUCAUCAGAUCACGUUUAAAAUUCUUUUCAGCUGCGGGGAUUGGGAGCAAGCCUACACGAACCACCAGGAAGAGCUUGCAUGUUUGACUUUUAAGUCUCAUCUGUGAAUUCCAGUCUCAUCAUCAGAAUCUCUCCAGCAUGUUUCCCCUUUCCCUUUGUGCCUCUCACUCUUCCUGUCUGUCCACAGUUCAAAAGAUUUCUCCUGUCCGAAUGAUUUAUCCUUCUUGAUUUAUGCUGUCAGAUAGGUCUGUUUAGAUAGAGUCCAGACACACUCAUGUGUUGCUUAUGCAUUCUAACCAAGAGAGACAACUUCAAAUGGAUCAAGGUUAUCUAAAAGAAAGAAUGAGAACUUUAGUCAAAGAUCAGAAGGAAAGAAUAAGAUGAUAAAAUAAACUUGGGAUAAAGAAUUCUAAGGUUUAAACCAAACCAAGGCAGGAAGCAUGUUUUUCUUUCACAAAAUCAGACGAAUUCUUCUGGGAAGGGUUCUUUGAGCAGCAAGGAGUUGCAGUUGCAGACAUGCAGAUCUUUGACGUGGCCACUUGGAGCUUGUCAAAGAGAAACAAUCUGAAAAUUCACUCUGGUCCCUCUGGCUCCCCUGGUUCGCUACACCCUGAGAAAGAAAAAGAUUACACAAGUGCCACCUUUUGGACAAAACGGCAAUAGCAACAAAGAGGUCAGCUAUUAAAGAGUAUUAAUUCUAGCUCAUUCUUAAAGGCAAUAAUGAAGAGGUAAAUCAUUUUAAUCUUAUCAUAAUGCUUGGAAGUUAUAUUCUACAUAGGUCUAGAAAUCUUCCCACUUUAAAAAUAUAAGUAAAGACUGAAUUAAAACCUGAA